rnacentral:rRNA from 1 species
GACGUAGGGCGCGAGCGUUGUCCGGAUUUAUUGGGCGUAAAGAGCUCGUAGGCGGCUUGUCGCGUCGGCUGUGAAAACCCGUGGCUCAACUGCGGGCUUGCAGCCGAUACGGGCAGACGUAGAGGUAUGCAGGGGAGAACGGAAUUCCUGGAUGUAGCGGUGAAAUGACGCAGAGUAUCAGGAGGAACACCGGUGGCGAAGGCGGUUCUCUGGGCAUGAUCUGACGGCUGGAGGAGCGGAAAGUGUGGGGAGCGAACAGG